rnacentral:rRNA from 1 species
GAUGAACGCUGGCGGCGUGCCUAAUACAUGCAAGUCGAGCGAACGGACGAGAAGCUUGCUUCUCUGAUGUUAGCGGCGGACGGGUGAGUAACACGUGGAUAACCUACCUAUAAGACUGGGAUAACUUCGGGAAACCGUAGCUAAUACCGGAUAAUAUUAUGAACCGCAUGGUUCAAAAGUGAAAGACGGUCUUGCUGUCACUUAUAGAUGGAUCCGCGCUGCAUUAGCUAGUUGGUAAGGUAACGGCUUACCAAGGCAACGAUGCAUAGCCGACCUGAGAGGGUGAUCGGCCACACUGGAACUGAGACACGGUCCAGACUCCUACGGGAGGCAGCAGUAGGGAAUCUUCCGCAAUGGGCGAAAGCCUGACGGAGCAACGACGCGUGAGUGAUGAAGGUCUUCGGAUCGUAAAACUCUGUUAUUAGGGAAGAACAUAUGUGUAAGUAACUGUGCACAUCUUGACGGUACCUAAUCAGAAAGCCACGGCUAACUACGUG